rnacentral:lncRNA from 1 species
AAGAUCCAAUAAUCGAAGCCCAGUAAGAUAUGCAAUUGAUGGAGGCAAUCCUCUUAUGCCACUUCCUGAUAGUCUCAAAACCCGUAGUGAUUCCAUCUCGACUUCUAUUUCCGGGAAACUCUCAAGGCUUUUGCAAUUACUAAGAUCAAGUUCUUCAAGAGAUUUCAGUCUAAGUGUUGCAAACCUUGUAAGAUUGAAGCAUCCACGAAGAUCCAAUAAUCGAAGCCCAGUAAGAUAUGCAAUUGAUGGAGGCAAUCCUCUUAUGCCACUUCCUGAUAGUCUCAAAAACCGUAGUGAUUCCAUCUCGACUUCUAUUUCCGGGAAACUCUCAAGGCUUUUGCAAUCACUAAGAUCAAGGUUUUUAAGAGAUUUCAUUCUAAGUGUUGCAAACCUUGUAAGAUUGAAGCAUCCACGAAGAUCCAAUAAUCGAAGCCCAGUAAGAUAUGCAAUUGAUGGAGGCAAUUCUCUUACGCCACUUCCUGAUAUGUUCAAACCCCAUAGUGAUUCCAUCUCGACUUCUAUUUCCGGGAAACUCUCAAGGCUUUUGCAAUUACUAAGAUCAAGGUUUUCAAGAGAUUUCAGUCUAAGUGUUGCAAACCUUGUAAGAUUGAAGCAUCCACGAAGAUCCAAUAAUCGAAGCCCAGUAAGAUAUGCAAUUGAUGGAGGCAAUCCUCUUAUGCCACUUCCUGAUAG